UACGGGGGGGGCAAGCGUUGUUCGGAAUUACUGGGCGUAAAGGGCUCGUAGGUGGCCAACUAAGUCAGACGUGAAAUCCCUCGGCUUAACCGGGGAACUGCGUCUGAUACUGGAUGGCUUGAGUUCGGGAGAGGGAUGCAGAAUUCCAGGUGUAGCGGUGAAAUGCGUAGAUAUCUGGAGGAAUACCGGUGGCGAAGGCGGCAUCCUGGACCGGCAUUGACGCUGAGGAGCGAAAGCUAGGGGAGCAAACGGGG
rnacentral:rRNA from 1 species